UACGUAGGGCGCAAGCGUUGUCCGGAAUUAUUGGGCGUAAAGAGCUCGUAGGCGGCUUGUCACGUCGGGUGUGAAAUCCCCGGGCUUAACCUGGGAAUGGCAUUUGGGACUGCAAGGCUGGAGUGUGGCAGAGGAGACUGGAAUUCCUGGUGUAGCAGUGAAAUGCGUAGAUAUCAGGAGGAAUACCGAUGGCGAAGGCAGGUCUCUGGGCUGACACUGACGCUCAUGCACGAAAGCGUGGGGAGCAAACAGG
rnacentral:rRNA from 1 species